rnacentral:lncRNA from 1 species
UCCAGGUCCUAACCCUAGAUUCAACAGACUGUCAGCUAUUGAACACUUACAUGUACUAACUCAUGAGGUGAGUUCUGUUAUUCCUUCCUCAUUGACUGAUGAAAAUGUUGAGGCACAGAGAGGUUGAAUGAUUUAUCCAAGGUCACCCAGUUAGGAAGUAACCAAGCCUCGGGUCUUUCCCUGGUUCAGAUGGCUAUUCUCCACCUUCCAAUUCUUCUGCACCCUCCGGCCUCACACCAGGCCCUAGCUUUGACCCCAGAGGGGACUGUGAGUUCAAACCGUGACUUCUCCAGAGCUUUGGGCAAAACCAGGAAAUUCCCUGAAACCCCCCAAAGUCCGGGUUCCCCCAAGUUUAACUAAAAGAGAGCACAGUAUCCCUGCUUGCAAAGCUGCUGUGAGAAAAAUGUGAUAAAAAUAAUUAAGGACUCGUACAUGAUAAAAAUAAUUAUAGGGUUCCUGGCAAAUAGCCUGAGCUGUAGAGAUACUAAUGAUAGCAGGAGUUUAUGGCCCUCUGGGCCCAGCCUUUUGGAGGCUGGGGUGAUAGCAGCUGAGUUCACAAGUGGGGUCACAGAUAGAAAACUCUUUUCCUGGGGAGAGGCCUGCCCAUCUCUCCUUCCUGGCCUGGGCAGUGAUUUCAGGGCCAGCAGAAGGCCACGCCCCCGGCCCAGUGGGCCAACAUCUGGUCAGGCAUUGAGCUCUUGCCGCUUUUCUUUCUAAACACCUGUAAGCAAUUAGCACUUUCCAGUGACUUGGUUCAUUCAUUAAUCCUUUGGGCCCCAAGGGAAGGCAGGGAACAGAUGCUGGCAGUAGAAGAGGUGGGACAGACCUAGAGGGGACAGGAUUCAUUCUUCCUGUAUCAGGUUGAAGUUUGCGGAGGGAACUGGGCCUGGGAUGCCAGGGAUAAACCCAGAAUCACAAAGAGCCCUGGGCUGGGGGAAAUCAGCCUUGGACCUUGGUUCCCAACUCCAAUGAUGGUAGUUAGUCUCAUCACCACAAAUAGAGCUGAGAGAGGCUUGUCCCUUUGGCCACCAAUGCUCUCUGAGGAUGCUAGACCUCCCUGCGGUGUUCACAGCUAAUUCUUACACAUUAGAAAUCCACCCUAGUAUUGCUUUUAUAAAAACGGAACCUACUUAUCACAAUAGUGGGUGCAAUCCAUACCUAAAAGAAGAUAAAGAAAACUCAAAUUCGAACAACAUAGAGAUGCACAAAGGGGAAAGUUCAAAAUGCCAAAGGUUUAUUCCCUAAAGAAUCACCCUUAGAAAAGGAGGCAGAGCUUUGCGAUCACAAGCACAGCCUCCCAGGCCCACACGCCUGGUCCCCAAGCCGCUUGCACCCUGGCAUUCACCAAACUUGUAAUCAUUACAAUUUUACUUGUAAUAAUAUUUGUGAAUUAUCAUUCCACAAUUUUUUUUUUAAUUCCAAAGAGCAACAUACCCCAGGCAUAAAAUCUUUAGUUUGGAUGGGAUGUUUCGCAAAGCUAAAAUGAGAACUGGGUCAUGACUCUCAACACAUUGUAGGAUCUCAUAGUAAGGAUUCCUUGAGUGGAAGCCCUUGCUGCGAUCACAUUAUCAUUAUGAUUGUCACAUCCUUGUGUCUUUCUCUAUUGCUGAUUGGCUGGAGCGCCCCCGUGUGUCUGUAUUGUGUCACAGCACCCCAGUCACUGCCCAAAGCACCCUUUAUCCCAGUUUGGAGUCUCAAUUUCGAAAGGCAUUGUUUUUCUUAUCUUUCACUUCAAGACCAUAUUUUAAAACAAAGUACCCAAAUCCACAUCAGGCCAACAGACCCUAACUCCAAUCCAAGCCUUGCCAUGACGAUCCUGAAGGGCAUCAGAAGGAAGGCAGAAGGGAACUUGCCCUCUACCUCACCUGGACUCAAGGGCAACUUUGAACGUGAUCCAGCUUCCCAGGAAGUGCCAUGAUAAUACUGGAGAGUGGCAUUGCACAGGCUAAAAAAAAUGCUUUCACAUUAGUGAUCAUCACAGCUAGCUCUCAGCGACCACUUCCUGCCUGCCAGGCCCCAUGUUAAGGCUUAGAUGAUCACUUUUUCCUUUAAUCUUUAAAUACCCUAUAGGCAUAUGUUGUUUUCUAGCCUGUUCCUGGCCCCCCCCCCCGCCCCAACAGUAAGCUUUGGGCAUCUUUCCAUGUCAGUAAAUAUAGCUGGGUCGGUAAGUACUUGAUUCAAAGGCUGAGAAACUUAAACAGUCAGCAGCCACUGCCCAGGUGAAGAUCGAUAAUAGUUAACAUUUAUUGAGUGCUUUAUUACACAGCAGGGCCCAUGCUAAUUGGAAUUAUCUCUCAUUUGAUUCCUGAGGCAAUUCCAAGGGAGCUUCUAGUAUUUUUCAGAUGAGGAACCUGUAGCUUUAAGAGGCAGAGGAGCCCAUCUAAAGUCAGGCAGCUGGUGAAAAUGGAUCAAACCCACGGUCAGCCAGCAUAUUUGAAGGACAUAUAGAGGAAGACACAGCGAAAGGCUUUCCAAGUGUUCUAAGAAUCCACUGACAAGGCCUGAAGGCAGGCAGGAGGGUGGGGGGCUAAGAUGAAUUUCCGAAAAGUCAUGGUCCUCCAUGGAAGGGACAGGAAGGCUUCCUGGAGGUGGUGUCAUUCGGACUGAUUCUUUUUUCUUCUCCAGACAAGAAAGAAGGCCUUAUAAUUUCACCCAUGUCUCAUAUCUUCACCCCCACCACACCUUCUUGCUCCUGGUAACCACUAUUAUAUUUUCUACCACUGUUUUGUGUUUUUUUGUUUGUUUUUUACUCUUCCACAUAUAAGUGAGAUCAUGCAGUAUUUUUGUCUUUCUAGGUCUGGCUUAUUGCACUUAGAGUAAUGUUCUCCAGGUCCAUCUAUGUUGCAGCAAAUGGCAGGAUCUCCUUUUUUAAGGCCGAAUAAUAUUUCACCAUGUAUAUAUAUCACAUCUGCCAGUAGACACCUGGGCUGCUUCCACCCCUCGACUGUUGUGAAUGAUGCUGCUGUGAAGCUUGGGGCUACAGACAUCUUUACAACGUGGUGGGUCCUGCAGUAACUUACCAGUUCCUCAGCUAUUUCGCAUCAGACACACCUGGGCUCCAAUCUUAACUAUGGCACUCUAUUUCUUUUCCCUAAAUGGCAUUAUUGAGAUAUAACUGAUGUACAAGAAAUUACACAUAUUUUUUUAAAGAGAGAGAGAGAAAGAGAAUUUUAAUAUUUAUUUUUUAGUUUUUCGGUGGAUACAACAUCUUUGUUUGUAUGUGGAGCUGGUGAUCGAACCCGGGCCGCACGCAUGCCAGGCGGGCGCGCUACCGCUUGGGCCACAUCCCCAGCCCCAAAUUACACAUAUUUAAAUUGCAAAAUUUGAUAAGUCUUCAUGAAAGCAAGCCCUUGUCCUGGAGUGGGGGAGCAGAGGCCCAGGUGGGCUGGAGUGCAUAUGGCCAGCGCAGGCCGUGGCUGCAAGAGCCCACCCUGCCAGUGUGGGCCGGAGGUGGCCAGCCAGGGUCUAGGCGAGCCAGCGUGUAACGGACCUGUCACCUGGUGGCAGCCUAGCCUGUUCCUGGUGCAGAUGCCCACUCUGUGCAGCACCACAGCUCUGAAUCCCCUACCCCUGCGUCCACCAGCCAACAACCUCAACCUCCCACUUGCACACAAGCAGCGGGAAAAUGGAAGCGGGGCAGACCCAAAUGGGCUGCGGGGCUAACCAACAGCACUGGUAUCAAUGCUGAUCAGAAGAAAGUUUGGACCAAUAGCAUUGACCCAAGUGCUCUAUAAACCCCUAGACUAGCACACUCCAGUGGCAGCCCCCUAGGGGGACCCCUCUGUGAGAGUUCUGUUUCUGUUCUUAACCCUUGAGUAAAUCCUCCUCCUUUCCCUCUUGCCUUCUGUUGUCCUUGAAUUGCAGUCUUCAGGUCUGUGAGACAAGAACCUGGGAAGAAGCUGGCCGGAGCUGCUGGAGUCCGCUCCAACACGGGGGGGGGGGGGCAUGGCCCCCAUUUAGAGCCACGACAUGCCACUCGCCACUCAGUGGUAAUGGAGGAGAAUCAGCUUUGCUGGCUGAGACCCUCAGAGGCUGAAGCUGGUAGGCAUCUCCUGCUGUGUAGCUGCUGACACUGAAGCAGGCUUUCAGCUUGUACAGCAGAAGCAGAGAAUCCAGUUUGGUCUUGAACUCUGGUUUCGUUAACAUAUUUCAGCACCCCAGGAACCAGCACCACAACUAAAGUGACAAAUGUUUCCACUGCCCUCAUAGUUUUCUCCUGCUCCUUGAGGUCACCUUCCCCUCACCACCCCCAAUCCCCAGGCAGCUUGGUCCCUACCAAUUAUUUCCUUUCACUAUAGAUGACUGUAUUUUCUGGACAUUCAUAGAAAUGAAAUCAUACAAUUUGUACUCGUUUGCUUUCUUCAGAAAUCUUGUUUUCAGGUACGGGUUGUUUGUUCCCUUUCAUUGCAAAGUCAUGUCAACACACACAAAUGGCUCCUGACUUAGGUUUGACUCAUGAUCUUUUUGGCUCUACGACAACAUCAUCUUCAAUAUGAAUCAUAUAAGACAUUCAAUGCUUUAUUAUAAAACAGGCUUUGUGUUAUGUGACUUUUCCCACCUUCAGGCUGAUGUAUUCUGAGCACGUUUAAGGUAGGCUGGGCGAAGCCACCGUAUCCAGUAGGUUCGGUUAUUAAACACACUUUGCAUUUAAGACAUUUUCAGGGCUGGGGAUGUGGCUCAAGCGGUAGCGCGCCCGCCUGGCAUGCGUGCGGCCCGGGUUCGGUCCUCAGCACCACAUACAAACAAAGAUGUUGUAUCCACCGGAAACUAAAAAAUAAAUAUUAAAAUUCUCUCUCUCCCUCUCUCUUUAAAAAAAAAAAAAAGACAUUUUCAACUUAUGUCGGGUUCAUCAGGACAUAGCCCCACAGUAACUGAGGUGCAUCUGCACAUAUGUCUCAGUUUGUGGACCCACGCCCCUGAGGAUAGCCAUUUUCUCCCAGCCCCCAGUUUUUGACUACUACAAAUAAAGCUGCCAUGAACAUUCAUUGUACAUGUCUUUGACUAGACAAAUAAUUUUAUUAAACUUGCGUGAAUACCAAGGUGUGAAACUGCUG